rnacentral:rRNA from 1 species
GUCGAGCGCGCCCUUCGGGGUGAGCGGCGGACGGGUUAGUAACGCCUUUAAACGUGCCCUUCUCUAAGGAAUAGCCACUGGAAACGCUUAUUAAUACCUUAUACGCCCUUCGGGGGAAAGAUUUAUCGGAGAAGGAUCGGCCCGCGUUAGAUUAGGUAGUUGGUGGGGUAAUGGCCUACCAAGCCUACGAUCUAUAGCUGGUUUUAGAGGAUGAUCAGCAACACUGGGACUGAGACACGGCCCAGACUCCUACGGGAGGCAGCAGUGGGGAAUCUUGGACAAUGGGCGCAAGCCUGAUCCAGCCAUGCCGCGUGAGUGAUGAAGGCCUUAGGGUCGUAAAGCUCUUUCGCCAGGGAUGAUAAUGACAGUACCUGGUAAAGAAACCCCGGCUAACUCCGUGCCAGCAGCCGCGGUAAUACGGAGGGGGUUAGCGUUGUUCGGAAUUACUGGGCGUAAAGCGCGCGUAGGCGGAUCAGAAAGUUGGGGGUGAAAUCCCAGGGCUCAACCCUGGAACGGCCUCCAAAACUCCUGGUCUUGAGUUCGAGAGAGGUGAGUGGAAUUCCGAGUGUAGAGGUGAAAUUCGUAGAUAUUCGGAGGAACACCAGUGGCGAAGGCGGCUCACUGGCUCGAUACUGACGCUG